rnacentral:tRNA from 2 species
GGAGGCGUGCCCGAGCGGCUGAAGGGGCUCCCCUGCUAAGGGAGUAUAUGCGCUAAAACGUGUAUCCAGGGUUCGAAUCCCUGCGCCUCCGCCA